rnacentral:rRNA from 1 species
UGCAGAAGGAUCAUUAAUUAAACCAAGA